UCAGAGUUUGAUCCUGGCUCAGGAUGAACGCUGKYGGCGUGCCUAAUACAUGCAAGUCGAGCGAACAGAUAAGGAGCUUGCUCCUUUGACGUUAGCGGCGGACGGGUGAGUAACACGUGGAUAACCUACCUAUAAGACUGGRAUAACUUCGGGAAACCGGAGCUAAUACCGGAUAACAUAUUGAACCGCAUGGUUCAAUAGUGAAAGRCGGYUUUGCUGUCACUUAUAGAUGGAUCCGCGCCGUAUUAGCUAGUUGGUAAGGUAACGGCUUACCAAGGCAACGAUACGUAGCCGACCUGAGAGGGUGAUCGGCCACACUGGAACUGAGACACGGUCCAGACUCCUACGGGAGGCAGCAGUAGGGAAUCUUCCGCAAUGGGCGAAAGCCUGACGGAGCAACGCCGCGUGAGUGAUGAAGGUCUUCGGAUCGUAAAACUCUGUUAUYAGGGAAGAACAAAUGUGUAAGUAACUGUGCACRUCUUGACGGUACCURAUSARAAAGCCMCGGCUAACUACGUGCCAGCAGCCGCGGUAAUACGUAGGKGGCAAGCGUUAUYCGGAAUUAUUGGGCGUAAAGCGCGCGUAGGSGGUUUUUUAAGUCUGAUGUGAAAGCCCASGGCUCAACCGUGGAGGGUCAUUGGAAACUGGAAAACUUGAGUGCAGRAGAGGAAAGUGGAAUUCCAUGUGUAGCGGUGAAAUGCGCAAGWYAUGGAGGAACACCAGUGGCGAAGCGACUCUCUGGUCUGUAACUGACGCUGAGUGCGAACGCCUUCC
rnacentral:rRNA from 1 species